UAAUCCAAUCUGCGAUGUUUAACCGUUCAUGCCCUCAUCUUAGAACUUCAAUAUGGCAUCAGGUUUCUGGAAAAUAUUUGUUUUAAAUUAUUAUCACGUAUGGUAGUACACUUUUCUGCACUGGUAACCAAAUUUCAGUCUUACAAGAAGAUCUUUUUUCAUUAGAUUAGCAAUAUGUUUCUAAUUAGUGGCUUUUCUUGAUAUCAGGCUGCACCUGGCUCUUCCCACACGUUAGUGAAAGAAUUCUCAACAAAGUGUAGUAGCCAUUUCUUCUUAUGGCAUACUGCAGUUGAAAUUUAGUGAAAGAAUCCUCAACAAAUGAGCACGAGUAGUGGUUAGAGCAAGCGUGAGGAAACUACUCUUCAGUGGCCUCAAUGCUCCUUCUUGUCGCGUGUAAGAAAUCCAAUCUGCGAUGCAAAUAUCUUAUUUAUUUUGUCAAUUGCAAAAAGGCCGAACUCUGUUUCUGUUGUUUCUUUGGAUGAUACCGAGGAUUGAGAUGUUUCCAUCUCAAAAUUCGAGUCGAGGUUCUUGUAUCUUGCUGCAGAUGCCCGCUCAAGUAUAAUGUAAGUGUAGUAGGUUUUUAUUCCUGUCUGGAAUAAAAAUGUUGUCCUUAUUAGAUUUGUUACCAUGUGUAAGUCGAUCCGACAUAGUUCUCCACCUCUUUUAAUGUUCUGCACAUGUACGAUCGUUCUUCAUAAGGUCUGGAGGCCAUCAUACAUAAAAUGUGUUACUUCAAGUAAGAAGAUAACUUGUUGUCCAAUGCUCCAGUAAAAAUAUGUACUGCAGACCUGGGUGCAGAAAUAUUUGUACAUCUCCUAGAUGAAUAUUUAAGGUAUUUCCAUUUAUGGGAAAGUACAAGGAUGCCCAAACCAAAUUUGCUUGGGUAUGAAAAUGGCCUUAAGUUAUGUAACCAGGCAUAUUUGUAAAUCAGCAGGACAAUGCUUAUGCAAUUAAUCCAUAGACAUCCCUCAGAUCGCCACGGUUCAUAUGGAAAAAUAGGCACAUAAAUAUAUUAUUAUCAUCUGUUGAAUUGAAUCCGUUUUUAGUUAUUUUUUUCAUUCAGAUUUUACUAGCAUCUUCAAUGAACAUAUAAGGUGGCAUGGUAGUACGUGUAGACUGGGAGUGCGAUGGUUUCCUGGCCUGGUUCCCAUUUCAAAGCUGGAGUUUGCUGAACUGCCGAUGUUAGUGGCCGCGUAGCUCAGCCUGGGAACAAGCACGCAGCCCAGGAAGCGAGGGCGAAGCCACCAGCUGACAACAACAUGCACGUCAAGGUUGCUAGGCUCCGGUCCGCUGUUUGCUGCGAGCUACUUUGACACAUUUAGAGCGAUUGUAUAUGUUCUUUGCUUCUCUCUCAAGAUGUUCAUUGAAUAUUUGAAGCUUUGUAGUAAAUCUGCAGAAAUAUUUCCUAUCGGAUGCCAAGCUUAGCUAAAUUGUAUAUAUAAUUUACAAUUUACUUGUGCUUGAAAUAUGUUUUUGCAUUGUUUGUAUUAAUCACAACGUGGAUUUUUUUCAA